GUAACUUUUGAUCGUUUCGUUCGUGCCAAGCACAAGCAGCCACCGCACAACACACACACACACACAGAGGCUGGCCGAGUUGCUGCUAUUUUUUGUCGCCAAAAAAAAUGAAAUGACGUCAAGGUGGGUAUCCUGAUGUGUCGUGUCAAUAGUUAAGUGUAUUUGCCAUUUUUUAUAUAAAAUAGCAAAGCUCAAUAAGAUUAAAUGGAAACAAUCGAUUCGCAAGGGUAUCUAAAGCUUCGGCCCCGAACUUAGUAUUGUUCUUAUUUGAUAUUGAAAUAAAUCAAUUAAAAUGUUUUUGGGAAACUGA